rnacentral:misc_RNA from 1 species
GAUGAAGAACGCAGCGAAAUGCGAUAAGUAAUGUGAAUUGCAGAAUUCAGUGAAUCAUCGAAUCUUUGAACGCACAUUGCGCCCCUUGGUAUUCCGAGGGGCAUGCCUGUUCGAGCGUCAUUAUAACCCCUCAAGCUCAGCUUGGUGUUGGGGCCUGCUGCACUGGCAGCCCUUAAAAUCAGUGGCGGCGCCAUCUGGCUCUAAGCGUAGUAAUUCUUCUCGCUAUGGAGUCCUGGUGGAUGCUUGCCAUCAACCCCCAAUUUUCUAUGGUUGACCUCGGAUCAGGUAGGGAUACCCGCUGAACUUAAGCAUAUCAAUAAGCGGAGGA